rnacentral:lncRNA from 1 species
GUCCGUCGUCCGUCGUCGUCGUUAACUUUUUACAUUUUGAACUUCUUCUAGAGAACCACUGAAUGGAAUGAAACUAAACAUGGCAUGAAUGUUCCUUAUGAGGUGCUGACCAAGUGUUGUUACUUUGUAGCCGAUCCAUCAUCCAAGAUGGCCGCCAGCGGGGGACUUAGUUUAACAUAGGACCCUAUGGGAAAUGCAUACAAAUGACUUCCUCUAGA